rnacentral:lncRNA from 1 species
AAAUGCUGUAAUAUAUUGAGAAUUUUCUCUCAAAUAUCUCUAAUUCCACUUUCAUUAUUUUGCGUCUUUAUAAGUGAAAAAUAUAAUGUAACUCAAGUUACGUUAGACCUCCACUUCACCUAUUCUCGACUUCCUCCUCUAAAGUGCCGAACUCGACUUCCACCAUACUCAACCUCCUCUAAAAUAUUUAUUAAACAGUAAAACCUAAACUCUACUUCCCUUAUAAUAGAUUAGAAUUGCCUUAUUUAUAACAAAUUAGAAUUAUCUUUAAAUAAUAAUAAAAAAAAUUAAUUAUAUAAUAAGUUAAAUUUUAUAGCAGUAAAUUUACUAUUAUAUUUAGGAGAUAAAAGGAUCCACUUACUUACAUCAAAACAAACAACGGAACUCACAAAGCUAAUUUCACCAGCACCAAGUUACAUCAAAACAAACAGAAGAAGUAAUUGAAUUUACCUUUCAGGCUAUACGAGUUACGUCAAAACAAACAACCAAAAAAUAAUCACACUUCAGAAAAACUCAAACACCACUGCACUUGACUUACGUUGGAUUUACAGAUUCGUCAAUCCAAAUAGACCCUUAAAAAAUAGUGUAUCUAAAAGUGAAACCCCACUAUAAAGC